UAGUGACAAGAAAUAACAAUACGGGGCUUAAAGUCUUGUAAUUGGAAUGAUGGGAAUUUAAACCUCUUCCAGAGUAUCAAUUGGAGGGCAAGUCUGGUGCCAGCAGCCGCGGUAAUUCCAGCUCCAAUAGCGUAUAUUAAAAUUGUUGCAGUUAAAAAGCUCGUAGUUGAAUUUCUGCUGCAUUGCUUGUGUCCCUCUGGGGUCUGUGCAUGUGGCUUUUUUCGGACGGAGUUUCUUUGUCUGAAUGUUUACUUUGAGAAAAUUAGAGUGCUCAAAGCAGGCUUUCGCCUUGAAUAGUUUAGCAUGGAAUAAUAAAGUAGGACUUUGGUUCUAUUUUGUUGGUUUUAGGUACCAAAGUAAUGGUUAAUAGGAACAGUUGGGGGCAUUCGUAUUUAACUGUCAGAGGUGAAA
rnacentral:rRNA from 1 species